GUAAGUUCAUUAGUUUCGGUAAUUGGAUUAUUCUUCUCCUUCUCUUCAGCUAGUUAUGGAGAACUGAAUAGGAUUGCAAUACUUUCUUGCUCUUGAUUGGUGGUAGGUUCUUGGUGACUGAAGGUCUAGGAAUCCAUGGAAGACGCAGCAUCAGAGGUGUUCAUGGAAACAACCAUUUGUUGUGCAGAAACACCAAGAGCUAGCCAUUCAUCUUCUUAUCUGCAGCAAUGUCACUCGAGAAGGUUAGCAAGCAUACACAAUCUUUUCAGCAGGCUGCUGAUAAAUUUUGUUCUUCUAGGCUCUUACAAUUUUUGCAGAAAGCAUUUGCGAGAUAAUAGCAGCUAGAAGAAAGCAGAAUCGAUUAAUGUAUAGAUAAGCAGGGCAACUCUAAUCGUUUUUAUCAAUGUCCAAUAUAUUGUUCAUCACCAUUUGGUUGCAUCAUAAUUCAGAGGCAGCAGCAUUUUGCUGCAUCAAGCCUCCCUUUUUUUUCUGUGUUGCGGUGCUGUGUCAUUUUCUACACCAACUCACUUGACAAACUGUCAGGUGAGACCGUGAGACAUGUUACUGUAAAUGAUGUUGAAAGUUGCUCUUCUAGAAACAGCAAAAUCCCCCUUUAUUGUGAGCGUGAAGAAGAAUAGCAACGUACACAGUUGUACAAGCAAAUCAUCCAGCACACUAUCUGUUCCUAUUGUCUGCUAUCUUUGACUACAAAACAUCUGAUUCACUAUUCUCAGCUGCUUAGCUUUCAGUUUGUUUGAAUGAUUAUUCUGAUUAAGCAGCGUUCUUACUUUAGUUCUUGUAUUUUCAGCGUUGUAAGCACACAUGGAAAUGUAUUGGACAUAUCGCCUCGACUCUCUUAUCACAAACCUGUGGGUAAUUUAAAUUCCCUAUUUUGUUAGUUAUUUUGUUAAUAACUUUUCCCCGGUGUCUUGUUUCAAAUAAGCAAAAGUUACUACAAACUUAAAUUACUACUUUCUUACUGAAUUUUGCUUUAAUGAUAUUAUUUUCAUGAUUGUGCAGACAACCAACAAAGAUAAGAUGCUCCGCAGAAGAUAUUCUCUUAACCUGCCAGAGCAUUUGCCUGAGCAUCACGUGAUUACAAGUGCAGAACAAAGUGAGAAAACCAUAUCAAAGGUUUGCUCCACAUCCUCAUAAGUUGCAUAGUAUUUCAUGAUCUCAAGGUCCUAUUUGUUUCCAAAAGCUGAAGAAAAGCUGUUCAGUUCAGGUUUUAUACCCGUACUUUUGUUCUAAUCAUCUUGCUUUUUUUCAAAAUAACUUGAGGCCUUAAGAAUAGUAACAAAGAUCAUGUGCCAUAAUAAUGAUACUCUGAAAACAGUGUUCCAACUUUAAAAUUCAAAACGAAGUGAAAAGGCAAAUGAAAUUAUAAACAUUUAGUUAUCGAUAUCUGAUCACUGACCUUGUGGUUCCUGCAGUCUAUUGCAGACUUAGUUUGGGAGAUAGCAGCCCUUGAGGAGGAAGUUGUUCGCAAGGAACUGCAUUUGCUUUCCCUCUACAGGGCAGCAUUUGAUCAACACCUAGGUGUAUCCCCUCGUGUUUCUACCCAGGUACAUGCCUUGCACCUUGGAUGGAUCAAUUUUCAGAACUAUACUGCACAUAAAUUCAGAGAGUAUACAGUAUAUUUAGGUUUACAAUCAUGAUCAGGUGGAUCAAGAAAUACACCAUCAGAAAAGCAGAAAGAAAGCUGAUGAAGGUGCCCUCCGAUUGAGAAAUAUCAAGGAGUCAGCAUCCUACAACUUGCCAACAGUAUCAACAGUUUCAGAUUCUAAACAUGUAUGAACAAUCUCUUCUUUUAGUUCUUCUGAUAAAACUUACCAGUUUGUGCCAGUUUCAGUUAUAUCUUUUUCCUCUUCAAAGUACAGGUUUUAGCUCAGGCACAAACAUAUGGUUUUCUGUCAAAAUCUCUCAAACUGAGAAAAUCUAUCUUUCAUGUUUUUCACAGGGG
rnacentral:lncRNA from 1 species